AAUCAACGCUGGCGGCGUGCCUCAGACAUGCAAGUCGAACGCGAAAGUCCCCUUCGGGGGACAAGUAGAGUGGCGCACGGGUGAGUAACACGUAGGUAAUCCACCUUCGGAUGGGGAAUAACAACCGGAAACGGUUGCUAAUACCGCAUAAUGCAGCGGCACCUAAUGGUGACAGUUGUUAAAGCGGGGGAUCGAAAGACCUCGCGUCUGAAGAGGAGCCUGCGGCGGAUUAGCAGUUGGUAAGGUAACGGCUUACCAAGGCGACGAUCCGUAGCCGGCCUGAGAGGGCGGUCGGCCACACUGACACUGACAUACGGGUCAGACUCCUACGGGAGGCAGCAGUCGGGAAUUUUGGGCAAUGGGCGAAAGCCUGACCCAGCAACGCCGCGUGAAGGA
rnacentral:rRNA from 1 species